GCACUGCUGAGGAGUCCCAUAAUAGGACGAAACGGCCGUCCAGUAC
rfam:Schistosoma rodhaini strain Burundi genome assembly, scaffold: SROB_scaffold0000667